GAGUUUGAUCAUGGCUCAGGACGAACGCUGGCGGCGUGCUUAACACAUGCAAGUCAAGGGGGCCCAGCAAUGGGCAACCGGCGAACGGGUGCGUAGCACGUGAGCAACCUUCCGAAAUAUGGGGGAUAGCCGGCCUAACGGCCGAGUAAUACCGCAUACGCUCUCGAUGAGGCAUUUCAUUGAGAGGAAACCUACGGGGUAUUUCGAGGGGCUCGCGGCCUAUCAGCUAGUUGGCGAGGUAACGGCUCACCAAGGCAACGACGGGUAGCUGGUCUGAGAGGAUGGCCAGCCACAUUGGGACUGAGAUACGGCCCAGACUCCUACGGGAGGCAGCAGUGGGGAAUCUUGCGCAAUGGCCUAACGGCUGACGCAGCGACGCCGCGUGUGGGAUGAAGGCC
rnacentral:rRNA from 1 species